GGGGCUAAACCAUGCACCGAAGCUGCGGCAGCGACACUGUGUGUUGUUGGGUAGGGGAGCGUUCUGUAAGCCUGUGAAGGUGUGUCGUGAGGCAUGCUGGAGGUAUCAGAAGUGCGAAUGCUGACAUAAGUAACGAUAAAGCGGGUGAAAAGCCCGCUCGCCGGAAGACCAAGGGUUCCUGUCCAACGUUAAUCGGGGCAGGGUGAGUCGACCCCUAAGGCGAGGCCGAAAGGCGUAGUCGAUGGGAAACGGGUUAAUAUUCCCGUACUUGGUGUUACUGCGAAGGGGGGACGGAGAAGGCUAUGUUGGCCGGGCGACGGUUGUCCCGGUUUAAGCGUGUAGGUGUGUGUUCCAGGUAAAUCCGGUUCACUUUAACACUGAGGCGUGACGACGAGGCACUACGGUGCUGAAGCAACAAAUGCCCUGCUUCCAGGAAAAGCCUCUAAGCAUCAGGUAACAUCAAAUCGUACCCCAAACCGACACAGGUGGUCAGGUAGAGAAUACCAAGGCGCUUGAGAGAACUCGGGUGAAGGAACUAGGCAAAAUGGUGCCGUAACUUCGGGAGAAGGCACGCUGACACGUAGGUGAAGUGAUUUACUCAUGGAGCUGAAGUCAGUCGAAGAUACCAGCUGGCUGCAACUGUUUAUUAAAAACACAGCACUGUGCAAACACGAAAGUGGACGUAUACGGUGUGACGCCUGCCCGGUGCCGGAAGGUUAAUUGAUGGGGUCAGCGCAAGCGAAGCUCCUGAUCGAAGCCCCGGUAAACGGCGGCCGUAACUAUAACGGUCCUAAGGUAGCGAAAUUCCUUGUCGGGUAAGUUCCGACCUGCACGAAUGGCGUAAUGAUGGCCAGGCUGUCUCCACCCGAGACUCAGUGAAAUUGAACUCGCUGUGAAGAUGCAGUGUACCCGCGGCAAGACGGAAAGACCCCGUGAACCUUUACUAUAGCUUGACACUGAACAUUGAGCCUUGAUGUGUAGGAUAGGUGGGAGGCUUUGAAGUGUGGACGCCAGUCUGCAUGGAGCCGACCUUGAAAUACCACCCUUUAAUGUUUGAUGUUCUAACGUGGACCCGUUACCCGGGUUGCGGACAGUGUCUGGUGGGUAGUUUGACUGGGGCGGUCUCCUCCUAAAGAGUAACGGAGGAGCACGAAGGUUGGCUAAUCCUGGUCGG
rnacentral:rRNA from 2 species